rnacentral:rRNA from 1 species
AAUUUUAAGAAAUUUUUUGCUUUUAAGUUUAGUAAAUGAGGUGUUUAAUUUUAAUGUUGUGAGAGGAAGUUUAUGAAAGCGAUAGAGUAGAGUACUGUGAUGGAACAAUGAAAAAAUGAAAAGUGUUUUUAAAAAAAGCAAUGAAUUAAUUGUACCUUUUGUAUUAGGGUAUUAUUAUAAUAGAAAUGGAUAUUUGUUCCCGAAUUAUUUUGAGCUUCAAGAAUUUAAAGUUUUGUUGUUUUAUAUACAAGAUUAAAGGUUUAUGAAGAAAUGAAAUUUUAUUCGAAAAGUAGGAUAUCUGGUUAAUUUAUUUAAAAUUAUAUAUUUUAGUAUAUUUUAUAAAAAUUAAUUUUUUAAAUAUAUUUUUCCGUUUAAGGGAUAAGCUUUUAACGAUUUAAUAUAAAUGGGAAAUUUUUUAAUUGAGGUUUAGAAUUUACUUAAUUUGUAAUAAAAAAUUAAUUUUUUAUUAUUUUAUUUUAAUUAAAAUUAAUUUAAUUAAUUAUUGGUUAAAAGAAUUUAUAUAAUAAUUAGUAUAAAUUAGGAAUGAAAAUAAGUAAAGUUGAGAUUAUAAUAGUUUAGUUAUUAAAUUAGAAAGAAUUCGGCAAAAUUUAUUUUCGACUGUUUAUCAAAAACAAUGUAUUUUGUUGGGAUAAAAUAUUAAACCUGCUCAGUGUGGAAUAAAUUGCUGUGGUAUUUUAACUAUACGAAGGUAUUGAAAUAAGGCUUUAAAUGGGUGCUAAGAGAAUGGUUUAACGAAGAUAGGCUUUUUUCUUUUUUUUAUUAAAAGUUGAUUUAAAAAUGAAAAGGUUUUUAUAAAAAUUUGGGACAAGAAGACCCUAUGAAUUUUGAUAUGAGAUUUUUUAAUUAAAUUUUUUUAAUAAAUUUUAAAUUUUUCUUUUAUUUGAUUGGGGUGAUUUUUAAAGAUUGGGAAUCUUUAAAUUUUUGAUAAUUGGAUCCAUUAAUAGUGAUUUGUUGAAUAAAAUACUCUAGGGAUAACAGCGUUAUUAUUUUGGAUAGUUCAUAUAGAUAAAAUAGUUUGCGACCUCGAUGUUGGAUUAAGAUACCCUUGGAGUGUAGAAGCUUCAAAAAUAGGGAAGUUUGCUCAACUUUUAAAUUCUUACAUGAUCUGAGUUCAGACCGGUGUAAACCAGGUUGGUUUCUAUCUAGAUGCUGAGGUUAAUUUUAUAGUACGAAAGGAAUUAAAAUUUUAAAUUAUUUAUUUGAAUGUGUUUGGUUUUAGAUUAA